rnacentral:lncRNA from 1 species
AAAUAAAUUAAUAAAUAAAAUAUUACUAUGUCAUUCUCCAUAAGUAUAUAAUGUUACACAGAUAACAUUAUGUGAAAUAGAGAAUUCUAAAGACAAAUAGUUCGUGUAUAUAUAUGAAACAAAUCAAAAUGGAAAAACAAAGAUAAAACAGAGAGAAAUCAUCUGCAGGCGAUGUUCCUCAGAGCCUGCGUGGCCGUGACGAUUUCCAUGGUGCAAUUCAUAUUGGUAGAUUUGUUCUUCUUCAUGAUGAAGAUGAGUUCCACUCUCCCUCUCAUCUGCGCCGUGCUCGUGAUCGGCACUACUCCCGCGCUCAAAUCGGCGGCCAGCUGAGGGUGGUUGCUGAGAUUCAAUUGGACGGCGGAGUGAACGAACUUCUUGGUGGAUCUCCAACCGGUUUUAGAAUUGGGGACGAAAACCUGGGCCACUCUGGUUCCUCUGUAGAAGAAAUCGACGGUGGUGUUGCGGUAUUUGUAGCGGCCGAAGUUGGUGUUCUUCACCGUGAAUUCGGGGUUCAUGGUGGCCUGCAGAGAGUCAGUGGCGGCGUUGAAGGAGGUGAAGGUGACUUGGCGGAUACGGAAUUUGGGCGUUUUCACUUUCAUAACGGUUAGGGCGAAGACAGUGAUGAUUGCGGUUUGGAAGACGAUGAAGAGAAGGAUGUAAAGGAUGCAUUUCGUGCGCUUCUUCUUGCGCUGCUCUCUCGUGGCGUCGUGAUGCGCAGCGGCGGCCUCCGUGUCGACGCUCCGUGCAUAGCCGUUGGCGGGAUAUGCUGAUUGUUGCUCCUUCUCGGCCAUCUGAUUGGUUUUUUAAAUACAGAAGAAUAGUAAUGAGAAAUAUAUGCUCUGCUUCAAGACUGGUUUUUUUUUUUUUGUUGAGGAGGAUGUGAAUGAGUGAGUUGAGGUGGGAGCUGGCUUAUUUAUACAGAGAGAUAGAUAUUUUGUUGAAGUAAAGAAAGGGUUAUUAAAAAUAUUGACGUCUGAGUUAAUUAGAGUUAUUACGCGUGAGGCGGCUGCUCCCAACUUGUUGAUUGGUUGUGAAAGGUGCUUACCUUUUUCCACAUGAAGAUUUUAAUUAUGGGGAGAAGCUUCCGCUGAUGAUAAUUUUUGACGGUUUUUCAAGAAUGUUGACUUUACUAAUAUAGUUACGGAUGCUCUUAAUUACAGAGCUUGAUAUUUCAUAACAUCUGCUUCCACUUAAUUUCUAUAUUCGGUUAUUGUGUCUGCACUCAAAUUAUUUAAUUUUUAUAGCAAAGCACAACUUUUUUUUAAAUUAGAAUUACAAGAGGUAUUUAAAUAUAAUUAAAUAAACAACUCACACGUAGACGAGACCUUUAUACCAUAUAAAGAUGAUAAAAUAACCGCACGUAGGCGGGACCACUAUCCACACAAAGGUGAGAAAACUACACAAAAGUGGAAACAUUAACCACACAAAGCACAAGUUAAUUAAUAAGACAAUUUUUCUUCAAUUAGUAAAUUAGGGGGUUGAAUCAUUCAAUAUGCGUCUAAUGAAUCAUUAAAAUAAGAAGAGAAUAAAUUAAAUAAGAUGUGUCGGAACAAUUGGUGAUCUACGUGAUCAAGUGCAAACACUCCCAAUGACAUCGGCUUACACAUAUGAUGUACGAUGUACGUAAUUUCAUGUUGCGUCCUCAUAGGCCAAUUUGUAAACAUACAAAUUGGUUACAAAUCAAUCAUAAUAAAAAAGAUAACAAAAUAUACGAAAAGUUUAUCGUUUUUUUUUGUAAGUAAAAUCAAAAUAAAAUAAAAGCACGAGGGGUGCAACCCAAAAAAGCAAGGUACAAAGUUCAGAGGAUACAGCUCAAUCGCCAAAAUCACAACUUAAGACACACAGACGAAUCACAUAACCAAUUUCUCAAACUAUAACAAGAGACAAUGGGCGAAAGAUUAGACAACCAAAAUCAAAAUCUCACUUUAAUCAACUCGACUAAGUCCUCACAGCAACUUGGCAAGUUCUUGAACACCACCCCAUUUCGAUGAUUCCACACAAUACAUAUCCAAAGCGCUUUCCACCACUCAGAUGAAUGUUUAUGCCUUGCAAAACCCAUGUGCUGCUUAAAGUGACAAAUUGGAUCAAUAUGUCCGACAUAACUGAGUCCAAACCAACUGUAGCAAGACGAUCAAAUCUUGUAUGCAAACGAACAAGAGAAGAAAAGUUUAUUGUAAUUACAUUUUUUUUAUCUCAUAUUCUCUAGAAUUGAAAACAUGAAAAAAUAUUAUAAUAUUAAUACUCCUAAUAAAAUUAUUAUGAAUUAGGGCGAAAAUAUAAGAAAAUAAGUUGUUGAAAACAUCACACUGCUUAAAAAAAAUUAUUCAUCCUAAAAAAUACUAUGUAAAAGAAGUAGAAGAAAAGUGAAAAUUUAUAGUAUUUUCCAUUUUUUUUAUUAAAAAGAACGCACCCGAAUAGAAAAAGGAAAUGAAAAUGACGACUGAUUAGAGAUAAUGAAAUUUGUAUAUAUGUCGCACCAACGAACUAUAAAUAAUCGCAUGAAUAUUUUUCAUUAUUUUGAAACAGUUUUCCCUGAUUAUAUAAUACAUAUACUAACUAAAUAUGAAAUAAUUUUAAGAAAAUACAAAAUACAUCAUGGAAAAACUAGUGAUGGUUAAACAUGGAAUUUGUACAUACUCAACAAUUUCGUGGAAAGUUAAUUCAUGUUAAUUGAAGAAAAUACAUAUAUGUACGAGUUGUUGACAUUUCUAUAACUUGUACGACAUGAUAAUUAUAUCGUAGGAUUGGUCGGAUUUGCCAACGCGUAAGAUUUGAGGUUAUAAAGUUUUAAGAUUUGGUCGAUCAUUACAUCCUUCACAAGCAUAAGAUAAUCGAUCAGCUUCACAAUCACAAAACAAAUUAAGAUGUAUGUCAUAUAAUUAUCGAUUAAUUUGAUUCUUCGCCCUUUUUUUUUCUUUUUCUUUUUCGAAAGCGUGUCUAAUAAAUGAUGUCACCUGGUGGAGCUAGCUUGACAAUUUCUAUUUAUGAAGUCUUUUAAUGAAGCCCAAGAAAGUUAUGAAGCUAGGUUUACACACGACUGAAGAAAAAGAUGGCUACACUACACGCUUUAUUUGAAGCAAUUUCUACGACUCUCUCUCUAUCUCUCUCUCUCUAAAUUUUUGCCAUCUAAAAAAAAACUCCGCCUAAACUAUAGUAAAAAUCGGCCUUAGCGUUGGUACUAGAACAUUUUGUUUUCCCAUUCUAAAUUAGAAUUCACGUUUCCACAAACAAAAUAUUUAUUGUAUUUGUGUUGGUUCAUCUUAUUUAAUAAAUUUUCGAAUCAACAAAUGUUCCAAGGAUGGUUAAUUAUGUGCAUUAAUUAUGUCUAGGAUAUCAUACGGCCGGGAAGAAAAUAAAAGGGAUCGUAAUAAUUUCCACCUUUAUCAAAUUUUGAUUUUACAUAUGAAUUAAAAAUCAUGUCUUUGAAUACACGAACCUUUAAUUAUUUUAAAUUUUCGUACAUGUUGUCAAUUGUCUUCAAAUUAAUGCUGAUGUGGAUGCCCGAAACAUCAACAUUAAUGGCUCAAAUGAUCCAUCGAUCAAUUCAUUUAUUAAAUGAUAUAGUUGAAUGUCUAUGUCACUUCACGAUGACAAUUAUUUACCAUUUUAACUAACCACGAUGACAUUAAUUCGUCGAAAAUUGAUAAUCGUGUAAAAAAUCAGAACAAUUGAAAGUUCGUGUAUUUGGAGGCAAUUAGAUAGAAAUUGGUAUUACAAUAUGAACUCUAAUUAACAAUAUUUACUAAAAAAUGAAGCUUUAAAAAUUAUACACCCUACGGUUUGAUUAUGAAUAACAAAUUUGUUAAAAACAGGAAGAAUCGAGAAAGAAUAUUAGAAGAAUUUGAAUUGAACUAUAUUGAUUUAGAAAGAGAAUGGUGAAUUUCUAUUAAUUUGAAGAAAUGAAAUUAUGAAUAGCUUAUGAUAUUUGAAUGCAAGGUCUCGAUUUAUAGCCUAUACACUAAUUUAAUACUUAGGUCCAUUAACAAGGUACACUCGUUAGCAAAAACCCAAAUAAAAAAAAAAAAAAAACACCAGCUAGCCAAGCUUAAAAGGUACUUGGUCUAAAGGAAAAUAUAAAUAUAAUUCGAUAUGAUCUUCAUUUCAUGCAUAUUCUGUCUUUCAGAACUAACAUUGAUGAUCAAAUUUGAUAUGAACUUUCAAACUGCUAAAUGUCUUCCUCAGGUUUGCUUCUUCAGACCUGAUCUUUGCUAUUUUCUUGAUGUCUGACUUUUAUUAUUAAAUCUGGCUAUUUACUCAAUUUUGUCACGCUUUCGUCUCGAUGUUACUUUCAGCUUUGAGCUUCUGAUUUAGCCUAAAUCAUUUAUGUGAUAAUCCAUAGAUAUUUUAAUUAUUAGUUUCAGUCCCAAAAAGAAAAUGCAUCAAAUCGUCAACCUCACACCUAUUUAUGAAAUCAUUUUUUUAUAACUAAAAGUAAAUAUUAAAUGAUAUACUAUUCUAAUUGAAAACGACAAUCGUAAUUAAUAAUUAUAAAAUUGAGUAGUUAAUUAAACACAAGACAUAAAAAAUAACGAAAAUAAAUAAGCUUGACACAUAUGUUAGACAUCAAACGCUGGAAUAUAGGAUACUAAAUGGUGAUUAUUAUAAAUUGGUACGGCAGCAAGCUUUGAUUUCUUUUUCCACUCUGUUGCUAACGAUUUCAUGACCACUUUUUCAAGUUGGUUGGUUGACAAUAUAUUAAUAUAUACUCUCUCCUAUCCGUUUUUUUUUUGUCAUUUUAGUAUUCUCAAUUAUUUAUGUUUUAAUUAUCGUUUUGAAAAUUUAUCUCAAUCUUAACCUUAUUUAAUAUCUUGCAUUAAUCACAAGUAAAAUGACUCUUCCUAUUUCUUCUAGUUUUGGUGAUGGAUGAUCGGCUCUUUUUUCACCAAAUAAAUAUUGGAUUAAUUAAUACUCCACUAAAUAAGUGAUAUUUAAUGAGGUUAUGUUGGGUAUAAUAUUUUUUUAUUAAAAAAUGCGUGCUUGAGCUUAGGAUGACAAACAAAAAGGAUAGGAGGAAGUAGUACUAUAAUUUAUAUACAAUUAUUUAAUUAUACCUUUAUUCAUUGCUUCACAUAAUAUAUUUAGAAACAUUAAAUACUUCACCCGUCCACAAAAAUAGUGCUAACAAGAGGCGACACCUGUUUCAAUAAAAAUGAUUAUUGUAUUGUCAGUGGAGAAAUGAUUUCACUUAAAAGUAGUGUUUAUAAUGAUAAUUAAUUGUAUUGUGAGUGAGGAUUAUGACCCACCAUGUGAUAGAUAGUUUUUAAAAAUGGAAAGUGACUAAUUUUUAUGGACAUUUCAAAAUGAUAAAAAUAGACUGUUUUUUAUGAACAAGUGGAGUAAUUAUUUUAAUAAAAGAGAAAGACAACUCAAAGAUAUUUUGGGAUAUCUAAAAUGGAGUAGUUAAGUUUCGUGGGAGGAAGGAACAGUGUUAUAUAUGUAAUCAUAUUCCAGAUUAAUUUUGAUAGAGUUGAAAACAAAUUAAGUUGAUAGUUAAAUAAUUAAUUUCUGCAUGUGGCUUGCAUACCGGAGCGAUGAAGUAGUGUUAUAAUUACCACACAAAAAAAAGGAGUAGUGUUAGAUAUGUAAUUAAAUAUUCAGUCGUAUCAUAUUCCAGAUUGAUAUUGAUAGAGUUGAAAACAAAGUUGAUAAUUUAAUAAUUAAUCUCUAUACUCUACAUGUGGCUUGCAUAUCGGGGCAUGCCUUCUUUGACUUCAGACACGAAUGGACUUCUAGGCACCCCAUGUUUGACGUUUCUUACCUUUUCAUUGUCUGUUUCUAUAUUGUGCAUUAAUGGUCUUAUUAUAAUUGUAUCUUAUUUUGUAUUUUAUAAUGAAAACGAUCUAUUUUUUAUUUUUAUUUUUCAAAAAUCAGAAAAUUUUAUUGACGAAACGAGUACAAGAGAUACUCUAACCCUUAUACAAUGAUUCAACCUACAAAAUUACAUCAUUUAAGGAUAAAUAAGAUUACAUGGAAAAAAAACAUCAAUCAUGAAUUGAGUAAGUGAAAGAAGAAGAGAAAAAAGACCUAAUCCACCUCUAAGAACUAAUUUUGAAUUCUUCCACAAUCUCAUCCGCAUUGAAUGAAAGCUUUUCAAAAAUAACAACAAUAUUCCUAGCUUUCCAUAUGCUCAGACUCAGAGAAACACAUUGCCAAAUAAUGUUCAAAAUCUUCUUGAUAGUCCUUCCCUUUUGAAAACUAAUGUAAACAAAAAAUGGCUCCUAAGAGUAUUAUUACCCAUCAUUUGAAUCCCAAGUCAUUCAUAACACUUUCUCCAUAUUUUAUAAGAGAAAUUAAAGAAAUACAUAAGAUGAUAAAUAUCUUCCAAGGGAUAAGACCAUAAAAUACAGAUUUUUUCAUGUUCAUAAAAAACAGUCCUCAUUUUCACCAAAGUAUUCCUUGUUGGAGCUCUAUUACAAAGUGCCUUCCAAAGAAACAAAGAUACCUUAGUAGAGACAUCUUUGCACCAUAGUUUUGUCAACAUCAAACCGUCCUCACCUAUCACAAAAACCUCCUUCAAAAGAGCAUAGUUUCUGUCAAUAGAGCUUUUCCAAAUAAUGCAAUUUGACUCCAAUUUGUUCAUUUUGUACAUGCAAAGAAAAGACUCCAACACUACAAAUUCUUCCAUUUCAAUUUCAUUAACGACUCUUUCCCAUCUAAAAUUCCAAACCCUUACUUCUAAUUCUCAUCUCCUUCAAUUUGUAAUUUCAUUGUAGUGAAAUUUUAAAAAGGUUAGGAAAUUCAUCCCUCACCACAACUUUGUUCUCACCCCAAGGAUCCUUCCAAAAUCUGACUAGGUUUCUUUCCCCGAACGAAAAUAUCAAAUUGUCACACAAUAUCUUGUCCUCGAUUGUAUUCCAAACUUAUUCUAAUUUCUUCCACUAGUAGGAUUUUUUAUGUUCACAACAGCUAAUAGCCUCUAUAUUUGCUACAGUUCCAUAUCUAGUCUUGAGGAUUCUAAUAUUUAAAAGGAGUUUUUUCCCUUGCAUCCACCUCCAUACAAAAGGAAUAAGUU